AAGCACCGACUCUCCUCUCUCUUUCUCUCGCUCUCUCUCGACCCGCUGCAACUCUCCUCUCUCCCUCUCCCUCCUUCCCUCCCUCCCUCCCUCUCGAUCGACCCACAAUCUCUUUUUUCUCGACCCUCUCUAUUCGUGUUCUCUGCCAACCCCCUCUGUACCUCUUCUGUUAGUAUUCAUUCUCUAACCCUCUCUCCCUCUCUCUCGUUUAAGGACCCUAUCCGUCUAGACGGGCCCCUCCAAUGGUAUGCCUCGGAGAACCUCGUUGAAGGCCUGCCUGCAAAAGUUGGCAUCCUAGAUAUUUCGAGCAUCUUUACAACACAAGAAAAACUGGGCUACAUGUCUAAAUCGCUAGAUAUCCUAGCCUGUGAGUAGAGAUGGGAUCUGGAAAAUCAACAGCAUCUCCGUCAUUGAUGUAUGUGGCUCCAUCUCAAGAUGUCGUUGCUAAUGUAUCGAUUUUCAGGAUGAGGUGGUGUCGGAAAAUAAGGCGGUUGGUGGGAUUCUCAAGGAAAAGGCAAAAUUGUGUCUUUUCAAUUUGAUGAAAGCUAUGAAUGCUCUAAAAUGCUGGCAUCCAAUGCACGUGGAAUGUAUUCAUGUGAUGGCAAAGCAUGGGCGGUACACGCCUUGAUUUUCCUCUUUUUUCCCAUUAUUUUGUUCCUAUAGCACUUGGGGCAAAGAGCUUAGUACAAAUUUCUUAACUUGUGUUUUUCCCAACAGAUAUUCAUGUCCAGUAUGCCAAGUCCAAGUAUUAGAAGAGAAUAGAUGAUGAGGUAAGUACCUAGUACUUAGAAACCGGGCACCCCUUCAUAAGACCUAUGGUUAUUUAAGGAUACAAAGAAAAUUCUUAAAUUAAAA